rnacentral:rRNA from 1 species
GUGUCAGCAGCCGCGGUAAUACGGAGGAUGCAAGCGUUAUCCGGAUUCAUUGGGUUUAAAGGGUGCGUAGGCGGCUCUUUAAGUCAGUGGUGAAAUCCUGCCGCUUAACGGUAGAAUUGCCAUUGAUACUGAAGAGCUUGAGUUCAGUUGAGGUAAGCGGAAUGUGUAGUGUAGCGGUGAAAUGCUUAGAUAUUACACAGAACACCGAUUGCGAAGGCAGCUUACUAAACUGACACUGACGCUGAUGCACGAAAGCGUGGGGAUCGAACAGGAUUAGAUACCCCCGUAGUCC